GAUGAAGAACGCAGUGAAAUGCGAUAAGUAAUGUGAAUUGCAGAAUUCAGUGAAUCAUCGAAUCUUUGAACGCACCUUGCGCCCUUUGGCUAUUCCGAAGGGCAUGCCUGUUUGAGUAUCAUGAACACCUCAACUCUUCAUGGCUUGCCGUGAUGAGUUUGGACUUUGGGGGUCUUGCUGGCCUACGAGCCAGCUCCUCUCAAAUGUAUUAGCUUGCCGGUGUUUGGUGGCAUCACAGGUGUGAUAACUAUCUACGCUUGUGGUUUUCCACUAGGUAACCUUCAGCAAUGGAGGUUCACCGGAGCUCACAAAUGUCUCUCCUUGCCAAGGACAGAUUUUGACCAUUUGAUCUCAAAUCAGGUAGGACUACCCGCUGAACUUAAGCAUAUCAAUAAGCGGAGGA
rnacentral:misc_RNA from 1 species